AGAAUGACUGUUCUGUAAUAGCAUCAGAAAGCCCUUCCAAGCACAGAUGCUUCCUGCAGCUUGAGGCCUGUGGUAAGCUUUGGUUAGGAUGCUCUAUCUGGAGAAGAGCACUGUUAUCAGAACAUGAACCCUGUCAGAGCCACUCACAGAGGACCACAGCAGUGCUGCUCGUGAUGGGAGCGAUAUCAGACGAUCACACUCACGGAUACCAAAAUUAAAAUACACACAAGUCA